rnacentral:lncRNA from 1 species
GACAAUGACCGUGUUCCCCAGCCAGUGCUCUAUGCAUCUGAAUUAAAGGAUCUUUCAACUGCAGAUAUCAGGGCUAUCAGCCUGCUCUGACCACAAGGUCUGGUACUAGGAUUUUAGGGUCAGUUCCUGCUUGUUUUCUGCAAGCUUAUAGUUAGUGUUUUAACAUUCUGGAGAAAUACUUCUAUUUCUUUCAAUUUCUGAAUGUUUGGUCAGUCUGUACGUUGUGAUGGAAAGGUGCUCUACCUCAUUGCCUCAGUAUUUGGAAAAUUUUAAGUAGACAAAAAAAUAUAGAGCACUCAGAAGAUUUCCCUUCAAUUUCCUAGAAAUUAAGAACAGUUAAAAUACUAGUGUGUAAGCAGUUAACAUAUAAAGUGACUUUUAAGUAUGCAUGUUGCAGAGUUUAGAGAUGAAUAAAUCAGGUCCAACUCAAACUUGCACUUCUACCUCACUGAGACCAGAAUUGCAGCCUAGGAUAUAAUACAGCCUAUUUUUUUGAAAAGUAGCAUGUCAGGACAUGAAUAUCAGCCACUGAAACGCAUUCAGUUUAAGCCAAAUUCUAUCAAGUAAAACAUCUUUUUCUUUUCUUCUUCUAUUCCUCUUCUCUUUUUCUCUCUCUCUUCAUCUCUCUCUCUCUCUCUUUUUUUUUUUUUUUUUUUUUUUUUUUAAAGUAUAUUUGUUAUUUGCAUACUUAACUUUCUGAAAUGGUAGUUGAAAAGUGAGAUUUGCCCCUCCAGAAACAUGCAAUUUUUGUCUCCUAGGUGGUUUGACAUUGGUUCAACUUUCUUUGUCUCCUUUGCUCACCUACGUGGUGAAGAUCAUUCUAAAAGGAUUUCUGUUUUGUAGGAGUUGGCUUUCAAAUACCUCUGAGAAAUCACCCUACCAGAAGCACAAAAUAACAUCCCCACUCCAUACCAUGCCUAAUCUAAGUGGCAUUGUGAGCUUUGCAAACCAUGCCAUGUACUUCACACAACAUACACCUGAUGGUUGUGAAGGGGCACAAGAUGCUGUGUGCCAGGCAGCCUGGCAGAUUGAUAAGGGAUGUGAGCAGAUGCUGAUAUUCCUUGGAAGAGCUCCUUGCCCAGUUGAUCCUGCUCCUUCAGGAAGUUCUUUCAGAACUUUGCAUCAGCGAGCACUGGAGUAUGGUGUGAGAUGUGAACUGGCCGCUGUAAAGCCUGGCAGUGUCUGCAGGACAAGGGAGGACCAGGCUCAUCCUUGGCUCUGUAUUCAUGCUGUACAAGUCACCAAAAGACAUGCUGACACCUUUCAAGGCUGCGUGGGACAGAGAGGCAUUUUAAUUCAGAGGGUGCUGGGAUCUGCGCACGGCUUGGUGCACAAACCGAGGGAGGAUCUGGUUUGGGUCCAGUGCAGCUGGAUUGCUAUGUCUCUUCUCAGCUGGGUAAAACCUACCUCUAUGUAA